UAUUCUUCUCUUUCAUCCUCCAUCACUUUUGAGUGAAUUGACUAAACGGUAUAAGUGAAGAGUGAACUUUUUGCUCUUCUAUUUGUUGAUUUUGCAGAUCUUAUCUGUUCUUAUGGUAUUAUUUAGGAAACUUUGGUUCUUCUCCUUCAUUCCAUUAAUUUUGGGUGAAUCGACUGAAAGACAGUAAAGAGUGAUAUUUUGGCUCUUCUAUUACUAAUUUUGCAGAUCCUUUUUGUUAUUAUGGUAUUGCUCAGGGAUUUUUUGUUCUUCUCCUUCAUUCUCCAUCGUUUUUGGCUAAAUUGACUGAAAGGUAUAGUAAAGAGUGAUUUUUUAUUUUGUUUACUGGUUUGUAGAUUCAUUGUCUAUUUUGUGGCAAUUUGCCAGUAGACAAUGAUAUUAAGAGGAACGCAAAAUUCUCAAAAGUCAGGUACGUGAACUAUUUUGACUGCCUUUCAGAUUUGUUAUGUUCCACAUUGGAGUUGAGAAAUGCAAGUUGCCUUAACUUUUUUCUUUUAAAAACCCGGCAUCAAGUCAAUUUGUUCAAAAUUUGGCCUAACUAUGCUUUUAAGAUAUUUUUUUUCUUUUUAGUGAAGCCUGAAGUUUGAAUUCCUAUGCUUUUUGAAGUAUUGGCACGAGAAUCUGGAGAAAAUAUUAACAGCAAAGGAGAUGAUUUGCUGGCCAUUAGAAUUACGAAGAAAAAAAAAACUAAAGAUCAAUGUCCAAAAAUCAGUAGGGACAAGGGUUGUGUUUGAUGAGGAAGGGAACACGUUACCUCCUCUUGCAAGAUUAGCAACCACAAGCAGGGGUGCUGACUCUGUUCAUCUUAACAAAGAAAAAGAUACUACUGAUAUAUUCGAGAAGAUCUUCUAUUCAUCAGCAUUUUCAUAUGUAUUUUGUUUUCUUUAUUUUGCCGAUUAAUCUUCCUUCUUACACAGAAGGUUUUUGCUCUCAUAUUACGGGUUUUACACUUGUUUAGGUACAUUAGGGCUUUAUACAACUCUUAUCUUGUGAUAGCAAGAUUUAAUUAUCUUGCGGAACUGAAAAUCGCUUUUUUAUUAAAUGGUGAGGAGACAAAAAUUAGGUGAAUAGAAGGGAGACAGGUAUUUAAAUUGGCUUGCUAAUUUCAUAAUUUUGAUUUAGAUUAAAUUAUGUCCAUGUUAUAGUCAUGAUGGUAUUAUAAUCUGUAUAGAAUGAAACAAACUAUAGCGUGGGGAAGUUGGUUGCUUUUGUGAGGAGCAUUGAAACUAUUAUAAUGUCCAUAUACAAAUUCUUAUUUAACUGAAAAUCAAUUGAGCAAUGAUUGCAGAGAGUCAGUGAUAUUUUCAUAUGACAUGACCUGCACAGAGGUGCAGGAGUUGUUGAAUUGGAGAUAUGCCCAGAUUUCAUCAAAGAUGUGGAAAUUCUGCUUGUAAGGCUAGCCGUGGAGCUUGGAUACGAUUCUGAGCAGAGAUCCAUGGAUCACAUAUGAUAUCUCCCCUUAAUAUUUUGCCUCUGAAAGCGUCCUUCCUUCUCAAUACAUGAAAAUCCAUCCAUGGAACUUGUGAUUGUUGCACAACACUUAAUUUUUUUUGAGGUUGGAUGAUGAAAAUAUUUGGGAAAAACUGUGAUUUAUGCGGAUGAAAAAAAUAGAGUUCUUGAUUUUGAAGUAAUGAAGAAAGAAAUGUGUAAAAGGAAAGCAGAGAAAAGUAUCAGAACAUAGAAGAA